GAUGAACGCUGGCGGCGUGCCUAACACAUGCAAGUCGAGCGAUCUUCUUCGGAAGAGAGCGGCGGACGGGUGAGUAACGCGUGGGUAACCUGCCCUGUACACACGGAUAACAUACCGAAAGGUAUGCUAAUACGAGAUAAUAUGCUUUUAUCGCAUGGUAGAAGUAUCAAAGCUCCGGCGGUACAGGAUGGACCCGCGUCUGAUUAGCUAGUUGGUAAGGUAACGGCUUACCAAGGCGACGAUCAGUAGCCGACCUGAGAGGGUGAUCGGCGACAUUGGAACUGAUACACGGUCCAAACUCCUACGGGAGGCAGCAGUGGGGAAUAUUGCACAAUGGGCGAAAGCCUGAUGCAGCAACGCCGCGUGAGCGAUGAAGGCCUUCGGGUCGUAAAGCUCUGUCCUCAAGGAAGAUAAUGACGGUACUUGAGGAGGAAGCCCCGGCUAACUACGUGCCAGCCGCCGCGGUAA
rnacentral:rRNA from 1 species